rfam:Triticum aestivum genome assembly, contig: Triticum_aestivum_CS42_TGACv1_scaffold_410385_5BL
UUUCUACUCUCUCCGUUCAAAAAUACUUGUCAUCAAAAUGGAUAAAAGGAGAGAUGUAUCUAAAACUAAAAUACGUCUAGAUACAUUUCCUUUUAUCCAUUUUGAUGACAAGUAUUUCUGGGCGGAGGGAGUAUUUG